rnacentral:lncRNA from 1 species
AGAGACAGGAUUCUCCAUGAGGUCCUGAACUCUUGGGCUCAAGCAAUCCACCUGCCUCAGCUUCCCAAAGUGCUGAAAUUACAGUAAAGCAUUGACCUGCUGGAAAUGGAGACCCCCGCGCUAAUAAAUCAAGCACAUUUAAAAUGAGUUACCCUAAUGCUCAUUCAUCACAGCUGUAAUGCCAUUUGCAGCAGAGGAUUCGCCGUCCUGCGCAAACACUGCAGUAAAUAAUAACACUUGAACAUCUCUGCAUCAUUGCAGGUUCCAACACCACAAGCAUACGCUUAUUAAGGAGCCUUUAUUAGACAGCGUAUUCUCACCUAACAGGCCAGAUCAUGGCAAAAAGCAAGACAAGCAACCCCAGACAAAGAAUAUUGCCAAUGCCAGUGCUGACUCAAAGAACACGCAACAGAUGAAUGGUUUCGUGACUGGUGCAGCUACUUCCUUCAUCCCCAAGGACAGAACGGCCUCUUCCCUGUGUGGCUGCACUGGAAGGAGAAGACAAUCUGUUGCUAAAUACCUCAGAAUAAGGCCACACAUUAAUGUUCCCUCUUUCACAUACUACAAAUAAUUCAGAGACUUUUCCUAUUUUCUUGUUUCAGAUACAACUAGAGACAAACAAAAACACAGAGGAAAUGCUGCUGGAUACUAUUAAAGUGAGCAUCGUAAACAUUAUUUCAAGAGGUUUCCGAAAAGGAUCUCUAAAAUUAUCAGAGAAUUCACAAUUCAAGAGUACCUAACGAAGAAGAAGGGAAAUUAAUCCUUCAUAUGGCUCAAGUGUUCACAAGAAAUGUGGUUGCCAGCUAAAGAGGAGAGGAGAAAGAUUCUGUGCAACUGAAAGGUCUACCUUAAACAUCACAGUCCAACAUUCAACAGUACCACAGUGCAUCUACAAUGUCCCAAGCUUUAGCUCCGCACCCUACAGCUGUCUGGGUAAAGGAGAGCAUGUGAGUGGACCCAAAGAAUGGCUAGGUAAAGCCCUGUCCAAGUCUAGAACAGCAACAGCCAUGCUGCAGCAAUGUGGAAACAGACCUGAAGAAAAAACUAGCACUGUGAGGAUGGCAGACGGAAGAUGGAAAGAGCUUGGGUCCUUGAGGACACUGUGGAACUGCUGAAGAGACCAUGGAAUUGAGCUGACCAGCCUCCAUUCUUAUUCUGUGUAAUUAUACAUGUCUAUUUUUUUAAAUCUCCAAACCAAAGAAAUAAAACUCUUCCCAGGCUUCUGUGUUCUCUAGUAAGGUGGAGGCAUGAUGAAGGGCUUUGAGACAAGGUGCUCCAUAAUGGUGGCACAUGUACAAGAUGGAACACUUGAGAGGGAUUGUCCAUUUCCAUAAUUUCUAGUUCUCCCCUUAGCUGAUGGCUAUAAUUGGCUUCCCUAAAAUUUUUCCUCUGUCUGUGCCUGACUCACUAAAUUGAC